rnacentral:misc_RNA from 1 species
GUCACGCAUACACACUCAGACACACAUACACGCGUCCACCGUGUUCUCUGGUCGUCGUACCUGUUCGCUCACUUUUAGUGGAUGGGAAGGGAAACGACGAACAACGAAAGGGUCCGCUUAAAACUCGCUUGUUACGUUUCUCUUGCUCUCGCUCGUGCUUGCCUCGCGCGCGUCCGUCCAUGCGUGUGCGUCGGUGCUGUUCAUGCCUCUGUGCAGUCAGUCAUCAGUUAUCUCUCGCUCUCUUCCCCUCCUUUCACGGUCCUCCUGCUCCGCUCAUCCUAUCUGUUAUCGUCUGCUCCCCCGGUCUCUCUCUGUGUAGUUCCGAGGCUACCAAGUGUGUAGGCACACGAAGAGGGUGCGCCGAGGGAAGCACAAGCGGCACACACUUUUCCGUUUUGAUUCCGCAGUUGUUUUAAUUUGUCGUUGUUGUUGUUCGUCGUUCUCUCUCUCGCUCUCCCUCUCCGUCAGCGAAUCUACGGACAGAGCGUGAGAGAGGUAGAAGGGCUGAGCUCGAAAUAGAGAGUCGCGAUAAUCGAAUUGUAAACGGGCGCAGACACACUUAUCGUCUCACUGUGUGUGUGCGCGCACGAAAAAAAAAACUUAGAACACCUUUUUGUGUACAAUCGCGGGCGUGCUCGAGCCACUGGGUCCUUCCCUUCACGCCAUCCUCUUUGUACUUCGUUUUCUGCUGUCUUCUCCUUUGGUUGAGAGGCAGGAGGGAGCCUGUGAAUCCGCAUCCACACGCACGCCCCUAAAUCUGCGGGCCUCAGAGGCGAAGAGGAGCGAAGAAGUGCAUCAAACGAAGACGGUUCCGCUUUCUAGAGCUCAGGUUUCUUUGCGUGUGCCGCUCUGUCACCCUCACUGAAAGCACAGCUCUUCAUUUGUAGGUGCUGGCUCAUCACGUGAUUCAAUAUUUAGUGUUGGUGUAGUGGGGUGUUGUGGUCGCUUGUCGCUGCCGCGGCUGUGUGGGUGGGAGUGCACCAUCUCGCAUCUACCCUCUCCACACUCGUCCUCUCCAUUUUUCUUGAUCUCGAUACGGUGUCUGUGCCCCUUCUUCGUUGUGUGCGUUUUGCCGUUAUUGUCGGACUGCUGUGGCUCACCCUCUGCUUUUCCGCCGACCAUCGUUUUUUUUUGUUCGUCGUCUUCUUGGGCUUCUUUUCUUCCUCGUUCGUCCCCCCUCCUCCCCUCUCUCUUUGCCCCCCCCCACGCUGCUGUAUUCACUCCUCCCAGAGAGCCUCUUCCCUUAAUUCCCCCGCGGUGCUACUCGGUCUCCUCCUCGCCUUUCUGUGUGUGUUCUCCCCGACCCUCCAUUGACCCCGCUCACUUCCCCCUUUCUUUGUGUUCCCGUCUCCAUCUCCCCGCGUUCUUCUGCUGUCGUGUUGAGCCUCUUUCCUCUUUCCUCGACUUGGCGUUGCCCGCACUCUCACACUCUUUCCUUUGCGUGGUUGGAAUUUGUUUUUGUUCGGCCCUCUCCUCUUGUUGUUGUGCACGUGUAUGCGGCUUGCUCAUGUUCGUUUGUAUUUAGGGUCUCCAUCUCGGACACACGGGCCAUUUCCAUUGCCGUCAUCGUCAUCCAAUAUUGUCGCUGCUGUUGUCAUCCAGUUUACUGUUGCUGUGGGCUCGCUCGUGCGUCCGCUUGUGCCGCUUCUUCUCAGUGGCUUCGCUCCUCCUUACUGCUUUACGUGAUUUUAACAAAGAAUAUUGUCGCGUCCCUCUUUUCGUUUUCGUUUCUCGGCCUGUCGUUGUUCCUCCAGCUGAGCCCUCUUACUCCUCCCCUACUCUCCCUCUUGUUUCUUUUUUUUUCGUCUCUCUUUUCCCGCUACCCCGUACUUGCUCACCCACUCGUCCUCUUACCUGCCCCUCAUCCGACGCACAGACUCCGCGCACUCGCACGAGUGCGCAGAGCCACAGGAAGACACGUAGGCGCACAUACAUCUGUUUGUUCACAUACGCCAAAGCCGUCCCUGCAGCAUCUCACACGACGCGGCAAGCAGGGCAAAGCAACACCAGAGAGAAAAGGGACAAAAAGAAAAGCCGCAGCACUCACUGUGGCGCUCUCCCUCCCCUCCCCUCCCCUCCCCUCCCCUCCCCUCCCUCCCAAUAUACACGGACACGCCCCUCCAACAGCGACAGCAACGAGGGUAUCAUACCAGCGAACAACAUCGAACCAACACGGGAAAACGGUAGAAAAAAAAGAACACGCUCGCCCCGAAGUCUUUUCAAAAGAAGGAGGAAGCACGCAAGCGAAAAGCGAACAACGAUAACAGUGGAUUUCGGCUCUUCGUGUCAGCGGUGACUCCACGCUCGUGUUCCGCGUCCCGCCGCCUUGAUCUUGUUUUGUAUUUGCCCCAGUGUCUUCAGUUGCCCUCUUCGCUUUCACUUCUCUCGAGUAUCGGUCCCACACACCCUUUAUUUUAUACCUCUGCUUCUCAUCUCUUUCUCCGCCUUCCUUCGAUCGCUGUCGGGGUACAG